ensembl:processed_transcript Gm12043 predicted gene 12043
GGUGGGACCGACUCAGCUUGGGAGGGAACUCCAGGCUACUCAGCGAUCCCGACACCAACAGGGGACGACUGGAGACUCCGGAAAAGAUGCCACGAGCGUGUGAGAAAACCGAAGCGUGUGCUUGUGUUUGCACUCCACCAGAAUUUGCCCGUUGAGGAAACCUUGAGCUCCCCUUCCUCAGGGACGCGAGGCUCUUCUCAAGAGGACCCAAAAGCUCUGCCACCAGUUAGGGUUUGAGGAGGGCUAAGGCAACCUUUUCAGAAUCAAGUAAAGGGAUGGGAUGUGUGUGGCUCACCAACAGGAGGAGGGCCUGGGGGCGUCGAAGGGAAUGCCAAAUAAAGGCUCUCUAGAAAGAUCCAUCACUAUUCGCCUUGCCUCGAAUCCCACUCCUGGGCCCGUUUGUGCUGGAAUAGGGAGUUUACUUUUCUAGCCAAAGUGAAAAUGGCUUAUUAUCCUUAAGAUGCUGAUGAUAGAUCUUGAAGUCUCCAAAAGAAAGAUGAAGUUAAAAGCCAGAACGUUGGCACCAGUCUGGGGACUCCCUGAGGUGUGCCCAAUCACAGCUAGUCUUGCCAACCGUAUAAGCCUGUAAGACUGCCUUGCCUGUCUUCCUUAACAUUCUCGCGUUACCCUACUUGGUUUGUCGGUUCUGUAACCAAGCACUUCCAGAAGGGUUUGAAAUGUACAGCAUUAUUCAGCCAAGGUAAAUGAGAGUUUCUAAAUUAGUCUCUAGACAAGCGAGAGCUUUCAUUAUUCGGUCCUUUGGGUUCAUAUGAAAAUGUUAUUGAACAACACAGGAAAAGAUAGUGUCCAUGUUGCUUAUGUAGAAUCCAAAAACCUUAGGCAUCCAAAUAUCUCAGCUAAGAAAAUAACUUUCUCCAAAUGAAAAAAUUUCUAAAAUAACAAAUGACGUCAGUUUAAUAACGACACUUGCUCUGGAGUUUUUGCUUAGACUCUACAUCCUCUCUGAACAGUAGCGAAAUUGUUCCAGCAGUGAAUGAACUGUAUUUAUCAGUCAGUGUAAGCACUAAAACAGAACCAAAGACCUGGGGCUCCUCAUGUAAGUCAGCCUGCAAAAACUUACGUGCAACAAGGAAUCUUUGAUUUUUCCAGGCUUAUUAUAUAAUAGAAUGGCCAGUUAUUUUUGACUUCCACAGAAGAUUAACGAGGGGAGAAACGAUCUUUAAAUCUAGCAAAAAACAUUUGGUAGUUCCUAAGAAUUGGCAUCUUGAUUUAUGAUUGAGUAACUACUGACACAGAGGACACAAAGAAUGUUGUGCAUUCACUGCUUUAAAACAAGUCCCCAGAAAGUAAACCACUACCCAGCUUACGUGGUUAACUUUAUAGUGAGGGGUUGACUUUUGGCCAGAAGCACCAGAGAAACCACAUUUCUAAAUGCUAUGUUUAUAUAGUGCCUUGCAAAUGAAAUUUCUUUAGAGAGGGGCUUGAAUUUAAAUUCCAGAUCUUCAGAUAGAGUUUCUCACUCCUUAAGAAUGAGGAAAAUAGCUCAGUUGACAAAUCACGGGAUAGGGAUGUAAAACCCGAGGCUCUUCAGGACCAUAAACCAAUUGUUUGUUUCUCUCUUUACAUUCAGCUCUCUCUCUCUCUCUCUCUCUCUCUCUCUCUCUCUCUCUCUCUCUCACACACACACACACACACACACACACACAUACACCUGUGGGUGGGGAUGGGGGAUGGCCAUGGGAUGGGGUUGGAAUGGGGAGUCUCUUCUGUUUGAUUUUUUUCUUUUAAGAAUUUUUAUUUUAUGUGUAUUGAGUGUGCCAUGUUUGUGUCUGGUGCCUGUAGAGGCCAGAAGAGGUCAUGGGAUCCCCUAGACCUGGAAUUAAAGAAGGUUAUGAGUCACUCUGUGCUAGGAACCCAACCAAGGUACUCUGUAAGAGCUAGUGCUCUUAACUACUAAGGCAUCUCUGCAGACCCUGGCCACUUUUCCCCCAAGCCAGAUUACAGAUAAAGAGGUCAAGUGAGAUAACAAACAGAAUAGACACCUGGACGCCAGUUUCCGGUGAGCUGUGCUGUCCUCCAAGGGCCACAGAAGUCCUGCCUCUAAUUUACUUCAGUCCAUCUUCCUACUUCCUCAUAGGAAAAUGAAAAACACACAAAACAAAGCAAAACUUUGUUUUAACUGGUCUUAUGUCUUGUGAGCAAACCCACAGCCUCAGCCAUGCUACUUAAGAACCCUGCCACUAGCUAUACAAUAACACUCUAACAACAACAAACCCAAUGCCUGCUUCCUUGUUUUUGAACAUAAUCUUUGCUGCCUCUUUAGAUGUAGUGUUUGUCAGUAUUUGCUACAAGGAAAAUAUUCCAUAAGUGUGUAUUGAGUGAUAGAUUUGGUGUUGUUACAUCUUUUCAUUCAUAGUAUUGUAUCCUGGUCUCUACUAUUCAAGAACUACUAAUUCAUAUUUAGAAGUAAUGACUCUUACUUUCUAUGCUUUUCACCUAGAAUAUGAAUGUGGAACAAAGUAUGUAAGAGCAGCAAAUACAACAUCUUGAUGAUUUAAUAAGCUGUAUUAGCUGCUUACCAUGAGCAUUAUCUAAUAAGGGAUAAUAAGGUGAGGUUUUGUUGUUUUUAGUUGUUUGGGUUUUUUUUUUUUCUUGGUAAUGGGGAUUAAACCCAUUGCCUGGCACACAAUAGGCAAGUGCUCCAUGAUGGAGCAAUAUCCCCAACCCUCAGGGUAAUUUAGAAAUUGUUAAAGUAUUAAAUAAGUAUAAGAUAAGCAGAGUGUGUGGUCUAUUUUUAUUUAUUUUUGUCAUUCCUUCCUUGUGCUCUUUAUU